rnacentral:tmRNA from 1 species
GGGGCUGACUGGAUUUGACAGCAGACCGAUGGUCGGUGUAAGCACGCAGAGAGUUGGAGGCCGCUCUCUUUAAUCCAUGACUUCCGAAGAUUUAUCUGGCGAACGUAACUACGCUCUCGCUGCCUAACCGAAGUACAGUAGGUUACUGGCUCAAUCUCGGCACCAGGUGCUGAGACGAGAUGUCACCCCGGGACUCCCCGCUCCGAAGCACCCGGAUUCUGUGGCACAGUGAAAUCGGAGCUGGUCGCCCGGGGCCUCGCCCUGGCGAUGAGACUUUAGAGGAUAAGGCGUCAUUUGGUGGUCCGGGUCUUGAUGGCGCACGAAAACCGAAGGCCGGAAUAAGCGUGUAGAAAGCUCCGGGUAUCUCUGUUUGGACGAGGGUUCGAUUCCCUCCAGCUCCACAG